AACUAAUACUAUUAGUGAUUUUACUCCUAUUAGUAACAGGAGUAAAAUCACUAAAGUUUACGGUAUCCAUAACCCUGCUAAAAUUGUGCAUCAACGUCAAAACACAUAACAAUAAUACUAAUAGUAUAUUAUAAAUUAUUCAGGUCAAUUGUUGUUAGGUUCAUUAUCAUUCAAAACCGGUGAAUAAUAAUUAGGAUAAUUAAUACAUUCCAUUUUUGCCGCCUCUAAAAGUCUGUGAAAAGUUAUUUAAUGUCUGUAUACAUAAGUAAAAUUGUAAUUUAUUUAUUUAUUUAUUUUUUUCAGUUGCAGCGUGGAGCGGCUCCCUGUGGUGACACAUUAAUAUACACUCUAAACAUUCGAAUUGUUCUACUUUUUCACUACUGUAGUUGUGAAGAAAAUUAUUACGACACUCGUCUUUUUUUAUUUUUAAUAAGUUUAUACAUGCAUACAAAAAACAUAAAAACAUAUACAUCCAUACAAAACAUAUUAAACCCCAAAAUACCAAUAUUCUAUUUGUAAGAUAUUUUUUUAUCUCUCUGCAGUGGCGUAUUUUUUCAUUAUAUUUAGAGACAUUAUAUAUAAGGACAUCGUUUAGUUCACAACAGCUGAUUUAAUGCAUUGAAUAAUUCUCAAUAGAAGACACGCCCUUCACAUAUGUCGUCAUCACUGGAGCCGCUUAGGGCUCGCGGUGGAGUAUCGCGGAUUUCUGUGAUACGGCGGCCGGUUAUAUUUAAAAACAAAAUUCAGCUGUACGAAUGAUCAUCCACAUUGCAUCCGUUACUCAGCUAACAUCGUCAAACCUUCGAGGGGGCGGGGUGAGUGAGGGCCGCUGUGAGGAUCCCACACUGUGGGGCAGUCACACGCUCAAUGGUGUCUCCCACAAUGAAGGCAUUGGUGGAUGCAGUUUGGGCGGUGUGGAGCAUUGGGGCCUCAAUCUAUGACUACAUCCACACGAGUGCCAUGGAAGAGCGCAUUCACUCACUGGAGAGUGUUAUAACUAUCCACCAGUGUGUCAUUGGCCUGCUGUCAGCUGCACUUGUGGCUCUCUUCACCUAUAUUCUGCUAAGAAAGCACUGACUCAGGACUAGUCAAGCCAGAGAGACUACAGCGGUGACAACAGAGGGAAUUUAUGUUGGUGUCAAGCUGUGUUCUGUUCACCUUAAAAGGGAUUUUAACAUGUCUGACUUUUACCUAAUCAAUAACUUACUAAACUUUAGUUACUCCCAACUCGUUAAAAAUUUUGCUGCUUCAUUAUCAGUUAAUGCGAUUCCAAGUAAUCUGGUAAACAAAAACAAGCGUGUUUCUUCACUAAAAAAUAGGCUUCCACCAUGGAUUUUAUAGGUUGUUCAGAGGGAAGGAUUCAGAGAUGCUACCUGACCAUGGUUUCUUUAUACACAUGCUUGGUGAAAGCUGAACAAACACAAAACCACCACUGGAUUAGUAGGCUUUUCAACCUGUUUGCUGCUAUCUUCAAUGGAGUCAGCUUUUGUGUAGCUUACUUUUAAACGACACAUUCAGCUUGCCAAUGUCAAAGUAUAACUUUGUUAACCUAUAACAUCUCAUACAACUUAUUUCUCAGAUCCAUGGGAAUUUAUUAAUAACAAUUAGUGACAUUGAUUAAACUCUUGAUUUCACAA